UCCAGUUCAAUUGCUUGUAUUCAGAGUCUUUCUUAUUACAUAAAUAAGUACUAAGUGUUAAGACACUACACCCGGCAUCAGAACUUUCCAGGCAUUCCCGUGAUUGACAUAUAGCACGUUGAUUGGAAUGUUGGACCCCGUGAACACUGGGUACUAGUUCCCAUUUAAUGACCAUCCCAGGCUGCAGCAGUUGGUAGCAAAUGUCAGGUGGAUGAAUUGGAAACCAACCCAACACUCUCGUCUCUGCCCAUCUCUUUGAAGAUGAAUGUUUUGGGCAUGAUAACAAGAGAAAAUUCUACCUCACCCCGAUUUCUGUGCCCACCUUUUUUUUUCUUCGCUGAGUAGUCACAAUUCCCCAGGGAAAGACAAGGAAUACAGUAGGUACAGAGUCAGGUGCCCUCACUCAGAAGUAGUGCGGCGGCCUGGAAUUGACUGGUGUCUACCUUGGCAGGACGCCGCCGAGGAGGAAGCCCUGCAGAGUCUCAAAGCAACGCUGCCGCCGCUGCUGUUUUCUUGCCUCUACCAGAGAACUACAUGGCUUAUUACAGUGGUGCUGCAGGCCUCUGACGUCACUAGGCGAUGUUCCCACACCUCAGUGGAUCCAAUGACGACAAACCAUUGCUCUCCAUCUCAUUUGGCUGUGAUUUUAUUUUUUUGCAUGCUUCUUCAUUGCAUAACCCUUACCCAUGGCCCUUUCUUUAUUGGGUGUCAUUUACCUUUUGUUUUCAGAUGCCACUUAACUGAGUUCUGCCUGUGUGUUCCAGCUAAAAUUGGUAAUCGCAUGCCAGUUCCAGGCCAGCUGCUGUUGAUUCCUUGCCUCUACUAGAGAGCUACCUUGCUGACUACAUGCCGCUGAUGUCACCAGGCGAUGUUCCCAAACCUCAGCUGAGCAAAGGAUCCAAUACCGACAAACCAUGCUGGAGAUCUUCAAUGGCACAGUAGUACAGCUUCUUGGUUAAAUACGAAUUCUUUACUCUCUACAGUUGGAUUGACAAUGGUGCUUGUGUGCAUCUAAAAUGUUUUAUGAUCUUUGAUGAGAGCCAUCAUCAUAUGGCUUUAGAAGUACAACACUGUGAUCUAAGUGACCUUUGUGGAAAGCCUAGAUAUGGAAUAGCUUGGAUGUCAUCAGACUUUUGGGCAAGUCAUGAUGAGGUUAAAUGAUGUCCUCUGUCUUUCUCACUCCUAUCCUCUCUGUCACCCCUCUCCUCUCUCUCUCUUCUGUGCUCUCCCCUGUCUCCUCAAAUCAAAUCAAAUUUUAUUGGCCACAUA